rnacentral:tRNA from 1 species
GGAGAGGUCGCAUAGUGGCCUAGUGCGCUUGCUUGGAAAGCAAGUAUAUCGAAAGAUAUCGGAGGUUCGAAUCCUCUCCUCUCCG